AUUGAACGCUGGCGGCAGGCCUAACACAUGCAAGUCGAACGAGUGGCGGACGGGUGAGUAAUGUCUGGGAAACUGCCCGCUGGAGGGGGAUAACUACUGGAAACGGUAGCUAAUACCGCAUACCAUCGGAUGUGCCCCGAUGGGAUUGGCGAGUAGGUGGGGUAACGGCUCACCUACGCGACGAUCCCUAGCUGGUCUGAGAGGAUGACCAGGCAAACUGGAACUGAGACACGGUCCAGACGCCUACGGGAGGCAGCAGUGGGGAAUAUUGCACAAUGGGCGCAAGCCGGAUGCAGUCAUGCCGCGGGUAUGAAGAAGGCCUUCGGGUUGUAAAGUACUUUCAGCGAGGAGGCGUUACUCGCAGAAGAAGCACCGGCUAACUCCGUGCCAGCAGCCGCGGUAAUUC
rnacentral:rRNA from 1 species